ACAGGAGGUCCUCGGGUUACGAACGAGUUCCGUUCCUACGCUGGCGAUGUAACCUGAAUUUCCGCAUAAGUCGGAAUUAACCUUUUAAUACCCCCUAAAUCUCUAAAUAAAUGUC